ensembl:lncRNA HRG-AS1 HRG and FETUB antisense RNA 1
GGGUCAGCUGCUAUGACAAUGCCCGGGCGAUCGUGCCCUCCAGCGCUGCCUGCAUGCCGAGGAGGAAGCGAGUCCCCACGUGAAUAAUCGGGCUCCGCCGGCUCACAGCGGAUGUCAGAAGGUUGCUGGCAGAGGUGGUUGGGGCUAUGUGCCUGGAGUGAAGAUUCUGCCCAUUGGUCAAGAGACCUCCCUCUCAGAUGCUGGCUCUGCCCCUGCCUUUGGGGGUCGACCCUUGUACU